rnacentral:tRNA from 3 species
GCGGGUGUAGUUCAGUGGUAAAACUACAGCCUUCCAAGCUGUUGUCGCGAGUUCGAUUCUCGUCACCCGCU